AUUUUCAAUUUUUGAAUUUAUUUUCAACUUGGUUUCAAUAUUCGAAUCGAUUAUCAAUUUGUUUUCAGAUCAAAUAUGGUAAUCGAUUUUUGAACAUUUUUUUUUGGAAAAAGUGUUCAAUCCGCACCCCAUAAAAUAUAUCCCGUCAAUUUGCGAUCAAAUAAAAUUAAUAUCCUUUCAGCUUUUCUCCACAUGUACGAAAAAUCGGAUAUAUAUUUCUAUAAAUAAUUGUUUCGUUUGUGUCUGUAAUCCUGCAUAGCUAGAAGCCCUACGUGAUCACUGAUUUGUGGCGCAGUUCGUAUGGUCGAAAGGUCGUUCUCAUUUACAAUUGUGCACAGAAAUUGUGUUACAUCAAUGUCUUGAAAAAAGUUUCAGAUUUUUUUUUAAAUCUCCAAUUGCCAACUCAGAUAACAAAACCAAAAACCGAACAUGUCUAAUUUAUUCCUUUCAGCAAUAAGUUUUGUUGGAUCUUGGAUUUUCUAAUAAAAAUUUCAGAGAACUCUCAUAUCAAUUAAAAAGCACAUUUACUUUUCCAGAGUGGAAUUCUCGUCACCCAAAGUAACUGACGGCUGACUGACUUUGGGAAGUUUUUCAUGUCUUGCUUCGCUAUUUGUAAAAGCCCAUCUUAGGUCUACCAAUCGAUUUCUUGGCAUCGCAAUAAAAAUAGGAAAAGUUGAAGUAAAAUCUCAUCAAUUUCCCAGUAACGCUCACAAGCGGAAAACGAACAAUUUAUAUUGUGAUGGAAUAAUGUCCAAUAUGUGGAUAUUAAAAGAGUACAGAAGGGAGAAUGAACCAUUAGCAAAUAGAAACACAUCGGAAAGACACACAUUUUCCCCCUUGAAUCGUUGAAUGGCGACUGUCGCCCCAGAAGAGAAUAUAAACAUCCAACACUUCUCUCCCAGCCGAACGAAUCCCACCCAGACGUUUCGUGAUUAAUUCAUUUGAUUUUUUUUUUUAAAUACGGAUAUCGGUUAAAAAAGAGUGACACAAUAAUUCGCGAAGCAUAACUUCAUUUCGUUGGCCUUGCAAAUAAUCACUCGGUUAAGUUUUUGAAUUUUUAUUGAAUGGUCAAAUAUCAGUUUCGACUCCCUACUGUUUUCAAUAAAAUUGCGAGAAAGAUAAAAAAA